UACUCCACGAUGCCUGUUUUUUUUGUGCCUCACAGGAAAAAGGCACAUCUGGAAGACUCCAGAUUUUAUUUUAUAUUUUUAUUCUUACUAUUUUACACUAAGACACAGCCCUUCCCAGCUUAUCAAGAAGCAAGGGUCCGGGUCUGUGUGAGCGCUGCUAGCAGCGCCAAACGGCUUGUCGGUGCUUGUUUAAGAAACCCCGCAGUAGACCGCAUACACAGCUUUGGCUGCAGGGAGCAGGUCGGUGCUUAACAGAGAAGCCCAGUCAGUCUCCAGAUUCCGCCAGCAUAGGAGGCACUGGACGCCUACCCAGAGCAGUUUCACCUGACUUGUGGGAUCAGAGCAGGCAGCAUACUGGGCAGAUUUAGG